GGACGAACGCUGGCGGCGUGCCUAAUACAUGCAAGUCGAGCGRACAGAAGGGAGCUUGCUCCCGGAUGUUAGCGGCGGACGGGUGAGUAACACGUGGGUAACCUGCCUGUAAGACUGGGAUAACUCCGGGAAACCGGAGCUAAUACCGGAUAGUUCCUUGAACCGCAUGGUUCAAGGAUGAAAGACGGUUUCGGCUGUCACUUACAGAUGGACCCGCGGCGCAUUAGCUAGUUGGUGGGGUAAUGGCUCACCAAGGCGACGAUGCGUAGCCGACCUGAGAGGGUGAUCGGCCACACUGGGACUGAGACACGGCCCAGACUCCUACGGGAGGCAGCAGUAGGGAAUCUUCCGCAAUGGACGAAAGUCUGACGGAGCAACGCCGCGUGAGUGAUGAAGGUUUUCGGAUCGUAAAGCUCUGUUGUUAGGGAAGAACAAGUGCGAGAGUAACUGCUCGCACCUUGACGGUACCUAACCAGAAAGCCACGGYUAAYU
rnacentral:rRNA from 1 species